CACGGCCCAGAGACCUCGCUUGUUUAAAACUUAAAUGGACCACACCUGGGAAGCAGCAUCUAGACGUCAUGGACUUAGUAGAGGAUUAAAUACAUACAGGCACUUGAUGACGAAAUGGCUCCAAAGAUUUGUGGUGCCACAAAUCCCCCAUCCACAAUUGAUGAUACUGAAGAGCUGACCACUGAGAGCAAGUGCAUCCAUACAGCCGUCAGCCACCCAAAUCAGACCAGUCCAGAGCUCGGCCC